CCACAGUAUGCUUAGUAGCGGCGAGUGAAGCGGCAAAAGCUCAAAUUUGAAAUCUGGCACUUUCAGUGUCCGAGUUGUAAUUUGAAGAAGGUAUCUUUGGGUCUGGCUCUUGUCUAUGUUUCUUGGAACAGAACGUCACAGAGGGUGAGAAUCCCGUGCGAUGAGAUGUCCCAGACCUAUGUAAAGUUCCUUCGAAGAGUCGAGUUGUUUGGGAAUGCAGCUCUAAGUGGGUGGUAAAUUCCAUCUAAAGCUAAAUAUUGGCGAGAGACCGAUAGCGAACAAGUACAGUGAUGGAAAGAUGAAAAGAACUUUGAAAAGAGAGUGAAAAAGUACGUGAAAUUGUUGAAAGGGAAGGGCUUGAGAUCAGACUUGGUAUUUUGUAUGUUACUCUCUCGGGGGUGGCCUCUACAGUUUACCGGGCCAGCAUCAGUUUGAGCGGUAGGAUAAGUGCAAAGAAAUGUGGCACUGCUUCGGUAGUGUGUUAUAGUCUUUGUCGAUACUGCCAGCUUAGACUGAGGACUGCGGCUUCGGCCUAGGAUGUUGGCAUAAUGAUCUUAAGUCGCCCGUCUUGAAACACGGAACCAGAAAACAAGCCUGGAAG
rnacentral:rRNA from 1 species